UACGUAGGGGGCAAGCGUUGUCCGGAAUUAUUGGGCGUAAAGAGCGUGUAGGCGGUCCGGUAAGUCAGCUGUGAAAGUCAAGGGCUCAACCCUUGAAUGCCGGUUGAUACUGUCGGGCUAGAGUCCGGAAGAGGCGAGUGGAAUUCCCGGUGUAGCGGUGAAAUGCGCAGAUAUCGGGAGGAACACCAAUGGCGAAGGCAGCUCGCUGGGACGGUACUGACGCUGAGACGCGAAAGCGUGGGUAGCAAACAGG
rnacentral:rRNA from 1 species